AUUGAACGCUGGCGGCAUGCCUUACACAUGCAAGUCGAACGGCAGCACGGGUGCUUGCACCUGGUGGCGAGUGGCGAACGGGUGAGUAAUACAUCGGAACAUGUCCUGUAGUGGGGGAUAGCCCGGCGAAAGCCGGAUUAAUACCGCAUACGAUCUACGGAUGAAAGCGGGGGACCUUCGGGCCUCGCGCUAUAGGGUUGGCCGAUGGCUGAUUAGCUAGUUGGUGGGGUAAAGGCCUACCAAGGCGACGAUCAGUAGCUGGUCUGAGAGGACGACCAGCCACACUGGGACUGAGACACGGCCCAGGCUCCUACGGGAGGCAGCAGUGGGGAAUUUUGGACAAUGGGCGAAAGCCUGAUCCAGCAAUGCCGCGUGUGUGAAGAAGGCCUUCGGGUUGUAAAGCACUUUUGUCCGGAAAGAAAUCCUUGGCUCUAAUACAGUCGGGGGAUGACGGUACCGGAAGAAUAAGCACCGGCUAACUACGUG
rnacentral:rRNA from 1 species